UUUUCUUACCAACAUCUUCCUUCCUUCCUUUCUUCCAUCCUUCCCUCCCUCCCUCUCUUUCCUUUUUUUCCUUCCUUGCCUCCCCCCUCCUCUUUCCCCUCUCUCUUUCUCUCUCUCUUUCAUAGUAGUCUUACUGAUGGGUGUGAGGUUAUAUCUCAUUGUGGUUUUGAUUUGUGGACUGGGAUCUUACUUGCCAACCACAGAAGCCACUUCAGCUAAUUGAAGGAUUUAUUAAGGGAUGAUUAAGCUGGACGAUACAAUUUUAGGAACCUCAGAAGAGCUCUGUGACCCUCUGUAAUAUCCUAUUGAACAUAAAAUUCCAUGUUAACAUUUUAUCUUAAGCUCUGACCUGGAGAGAAGGCAAAUCUCUUAAAGAGGAAUGCUAUUUAGGCUAUAAAUGGCAUAUUAAUACAGGACCACAGCAUAUGUUAGAAAGAGUGCUCAUUUGGACCUUAAGAGGUCUGAGUUCAAAUCCCAUAUCCUUACAACUCACUGUAUGAUCCUGAGCAAUUGAUUACCUUCUCUCAGCCUCUCUUCUCUGCUAAAGGGAGAGUGAGGUGCAUACUCACCAUCUAGCUCUGUUAGUAUCACAUUGCCAUAAAUACUCUUGAGAGCAGAAUUUGGUGAGGAAUGGAAAGGAGAAGGCAGGAAUGUCCUAGUCCUUUGAAGGAGUAUAAAAUAACACUUUGGGAAGAAAAGGACACCAAAGGACACCAGAGUGAUGGGGGGAGGAGUGCUCUUUCCUGUAUCACAAGGGCUGCCAUUAAGCGGGGACUCAGUAAAAUCAUGACACAGUAAGUGACAGAAGAGCUAAGGUUUUGUGGAUUACUUAAGUAUUUUGAUAGUCUCCCUUGGGAAAUAGAUAGUAAUAGAAAUAGAAACAGUUAUUGAGUAACUGAUUCCUGUAAUAUACUGUAGAAACAAAUUUGAAUUAACAUGCAAUCCUUGUUCUCAGACAUUAAUUCUAGAGGGGAAGAGAGAAUAUAAUUAGAACACAGUGUGACAAGUUUUAAUAGAAACAAGUAAAAAGUGUGGUACUAUAUUAUUUUAAGUUAUUUGCAUUUUGAAGAGUUGUGGAAAUGCCAAGAAUUAAAAGAUUUCUGCAAGUUUUUUGUGGUCUCGUUCCCAUCAUUACUAUCUUAAAAUCAAGAAGAGACAGUUUGAUAAAGGAGAGUACAUUUGUGUUAAUUACACAAACACACACACAGACACUCUAUUUUUAGUUGGGAAAACAAGAUUUAGCUUUUAAUGUAAUGGGAACCACAGUAUGCUCGAUAAAAAUGAAGACUAUUGAGAUAACAUUGGCAAAGCAUUCUUCAGCUUGUCUCCAAAGGAAAAGUGGAACCAACUUUAAGAGUGAGGUCUAAUGCCACAUUGCACAAAAAUCCUUACCAGAUCUUCAGGCUGGAAGUGAUCACCACUACACUGCCAGUUGGCCAGGUAUUAGAGCCAUUUGGCCUAUUGUCUGUCUCAAAUUAGGCUUUGUGCUCACUGAGCUGCUAACUUUGUUUUAUUCCUGUUUGUAUUGCUCCAAGUCUGCCAAACCCAUAGUAGGGAAUUGAACAUGCUGAGUUAAGCAGAAUGUUGGAAGGCUUUCUCAAAGGAUAUGCCAUGGGCAAGAAAUCAGAAUACAUGUGCAUUUUCAAAGGCUGAGAGCAGUUUAUCAUUCGAAUUUAUGUGUACCACAAUGAAAGAGUAGACUAUCUGAGUAUUGGUAUUUGGCUAAUCAGAAUGGAUUAGGUGAUAUUUCAUUAAUUGCAAGAUAUAUGUCAAGACUAUUUAUUGUUGCUUUACCAGAUACUAAAACUUUCUCUUUGAGACAGGAGACAAGAUGUGGAGUAGAAGGACUUGAGCUCACCUCCUUUCACGAAAACACCAGAAUCACAACUAACAGGUGAACGGUUUGGCAAAAAAAGCCUGGAACCUACCAAAAGAAGAUAUUCUACAUCCAAAGACAAAGAAACCACAAUAAGAUGGAGACAACUGUGGGAACUAUCACAGAGCUUCUUAGAAGACCUGGUGGAAUCAAGCUGCUAUUGUCUACACAGCAAGAACUUCAAUAACACAACUUUAUGUUGAUCCUUCCCCUUACUUCGUUUUAACAUCACAAAUCCCUCGCUUCAAUUCUUGGGGGUCUGGGAGGUGUAUCAGGUCAUUUAUUAGUUUAAUCUUUCUAAAAAAUUUUCUCUGGGAGCUUCUGAUGUGCUUCACCACAUUCUGUAUGCUUGGUGUUAUGUCAUCCUUGGAUAUCUCAUCACCGUCUUCCGGGGACUUUCUUCAUCUCUCUCCUAUGCUGAAUCUUAGUCUUUGCACUUUCGUCUUCAUUUUGCUUGGUUUAUGCCCUUAUUUUUAUGAAGCACAUUCUCUAGUAGUUUAUUGAGAAAGACCAUAUGGGAGGUAAAGUUUGUGAGACCGUGUACAAAUAAAAAUAUCUUCAUUUUACCCUUA